GACGAACGCUGGCGGCGUGCCUAACACAUGCAAGUCGAACGGAAAGGUCCUGUCUAGGUGCGCACCUCGACUUGCGACGGGGGAAGCAACCCGUGAGUACCGAGUCCCUGCCCUUGGGAUAUCCUCAUACAGGUUGGGCUCAUACCGCCAAGGAGUUCUCGCUGCAUGGUGGGCGCGGGUUAGUUUCGGUGGUUGGGGGUGGACUCGCGGCCCAUCGGCUCGUUGGUUGGGUAGUGUCUUAGCAUGGCCUUGCCGGGUAGCCGGCCUGGGAGGGUGACCGGCCACAUUAGGACUGAGCUGCGGCCCAGACUCCUACGGGAGGCAGCAGUGCGGAAUAGUGCACUGUGGGCGGAAGCAUGAUGCAGCAACGCCGCGUGGGGGAUGACGGCCUUCGGUUUGUAAACCGCUUUCGCCUGUGACGAAGCGUGAGUGACGGUAAUGGGUAAAGAAGCACCGGCUAACUACGUG
rnacentral:rRNA from 1 species